rnacentral:rRNA from 1 species
GUGAGGAAUAUUGGUCAAUGGGCGGGAGCCUGAACCAGCCAAGUCGCGUGAAGGAAGAAGGAUCUAUGGUUCGUAAACUUCUUUUGCAGGGGAAUAAAGCGCAGGACGUGUCCUGUUUUGUAUGUACCCUGAGAAUAAGGAUCGGCUAACUCCGUGCCAGCAGCCGCGGUAAUACGGAGGAUCCGAGCGUUAUCCGGAUUUAUUGGGUUUAAAGGGUGCGUAGGUGGUUUGAUAAGUCAGCGGUGAAAGUUUGCAGCUUAACUGUAAAAAUGCCGUUGAAACUGUCGGACUUGAGUGUAAAUGAGGUAGGCGGAAUGCGUGGUGUAGCGGUGAAAUGCAUAGAUAUCACGCAGAACUCCGAUUGCGAAGGCAGCUUACUAAGCUACAACUGACACUGAAGCACGAAAGCGUGGGGAUCAAACAGGAUUAGAAACCCCUGUAGUCC